GCACCGGUGGUCUAAUGGCUACAGCAUUAUAGCUGCCAUAAAUGACUUCGGCCUUCCAAGCCGGGUAUCUGGGUUCAAAUCCCGGCCGGUGCA
rnacentral:tRNA from 1 species